rnacentral:rRNA from 1 species
CUACGGGUUGCUGCAGUGAGGAAUAUUGCACAAUGGAGGAAACUCUGAUGCAGCAACGCCGCGUGGAGGAUGACGCAUUUCGGUGUGUAAACUCCUUUUAUAUGUCAAGAAAAUGACGGUAGCAUAUGAAUAAGCACCGGCUAACUCCGUGCCAGCAGCCGCGGUAAUACGGAGGGUGCAAGCGUUACUCGGAAUCACUGGGCGUAAAGGACGCGUAGGCGGGAUAUCAAGUCAGGUGUGAAAUCCUACAGCUUAACUGUAGAACUGCACUUGGAACUGGUAACCUAGAGUAUGGGAGGGGGAGAUGGAAUUGGUGGUGUAGGGGUAAAAUCCGUAGAUAUCACUAGGAAUACCUAAAGCGAAGGCGAUCUCCUGGAACAUAACUGACGCUAAGGCGUGAAAGCGUGGGGAGCAAACAGGAUUAGAUACCCCAGUAGUC